rnacentral:rRNA from 1 species
UACACUCCUACGGGAGGCAGCAGUGGGGAAUAUUGGACAAUGGGCGCAAGCCUGAUCCAGCCAUGCCGCGUGAGUGAUGAAGGCCCUAGGGUUGUAAAGCUCUUUCACCGGUGAAGAUAAUGACGGUAACCGGAGAAGAAGCCCCGGCUAACUUCGUGCCAGCAGCCGCGGUAAUACGAAGGGGGCUAGCGUUGUUCGGAUUUACUGGGCGUAAAGCGCACGUAGGCGGACUAUUAAGUCAGGGGUGAAAUCCCGGGGCUCAACCCCGGAACUGCCUUUGAUACUGGUAGUCUUGAGUUCGAGAGAGGUGAGUGGAAGUCCGAGUGUAGAGGUGAAAUUCGUAAAUAUUCGGAGGAACACCAGUGGCGAAGGCGGCUCACUGGCUCGAUACUGACGCUGAGGUGCGAAAGCGUGGGGAGCAAACAGGAUUAGAAACCCCGGUAGUCC